GAAGAAGCGCAUACGGUGGAUGCCUUGGCAGUCAGAGGCGAUGAAAGACGUGGUAGCCUGCGAUAAGCUUCGGGGAGUCGGCAAACAGACUUUGGAUCCGGAGAUCUCUGAAUGGGGAAACCCACCUGGGAUAACCUAGGUAUCUUGUACUGAAUCCAUAGGUGCAAGAGGCGAACCAGGGGAACUGAAACAUCUAAGUACCCUGAGGAAAAGAAAUCAAC
rnacentral:rRNA from 1 species